rnacentral:rRNA from 1 species
UACGGAGGGUGCGAGCGUUUGUCCGGAAUCAUUGGGCGUAAAGGGCGCGUAGGUGGCCCGCUCAGCGUGCGGUGAAAGCUCGGGGCUCAACCCCGAGUCGGCCGUGCGAACUGGUGGGCUGGAGCACUGUAGAGGCAGGCGGAAUUCCGGGUGUAGCGGUGGAAUGCGUAGAGAUCCGGAAGAACACCGGUGGCGAAGGCGGCCUGCUGGGCAGUUGCUGACACUGAGGCGCGACAGCGUGGGGAGCAAACAGG